UACGUAGGGGGCAAGCGUUGUCCGGAUUUAUUGGGCGUAAAGAGCUCGUAGGUGGUUUGGUAAGUCGGAUGUGAAAUCUCCAGGCUCAACCUGGAGGGGUCAUUCGAUACUGCCAUGACUAGAGGUCGGUAGGGGAGUGUGGAAUUCCUGGUGGAGCGGUGAAAUGCGCAGAUAUCAGGAGGAACACCGGUGGCGAAGGCGGAUCUCUGAGCCAUUACUGACGCUGAGGAGCGAAAGCGUGGGGAGCGAACAGG
rnacentral:rRNA from 1 species